rnacentral:rRNA from 1 species
GCNGGUUACGAUUCGCCCUUAGAGUUUGAUCAUGGCUCAGGAUGAACGCUAGCGGCAGGCUUAACACAUGCAAGUCGAGGGGCAGCAUGUCCAGCAAUGGAUGAUGGCGACCGGCGGAAGGGUGCGUAACGCGUGAGCAACAUGCCCUAUACAGGGAGAUACACCAGGGAAACUUGGUCUAAUAUCCCAUAGCAUUCAUUGAAGGCAUCUUUAAUGAAUUAAAGCUUCGGUGGUAUAGGAUUGGCUCGCGUGACAUUAGCCAGAUGGUGAGGUAACGGCUCACCAUAGCAAUGAUGUCUAGGGGUUUUGAGAGGAAGGCCCCCCACACUGGGACUGAGACACGGCCCAGACUCCUACGGGAGGCAGCAGUGAGGAAUAUUGGACAAUGGAUGGAAAUCUGAUCCAGCCAUGCCGCGUGCAGGAAGACGGCCUUAUGGGUUGUAAACUGCUUUUAUACGGGAGCAAUAAGGGUUACGAGUAAUCCGAUGAGAGUACUGUAUGAAUAAGGAUCGGCUAACUCCGUGCCAGCAGCCGCGGUAAUACGGAGGAUCCGAGCGUUAUCCGGAAUUAUUGGGUUUAAAGGGUGCGUAGGCGGCCAUUUAAGUCAGCGGUGAAAUUUUGCAGCUUAACUGUAACAGUGCCGUUGAUACUGUUUGGCUAGGAUUUGGUUGUAGUGUGCGGAAUGUGUGGUGUAGCGGUGAAAUGCUUAGAUAUCACACAGAACACCGAUUGCGAAGGCAGCACACUAAGUCAUUAUUGACGCUGAGGCACGAAAGUGUGGGGAUCAAACAGGAUUAGAUACCCUGGUAGUCCACACUGUAAACGAUGAUAACUCGCUGUCGGCGAUACA